ACAGAAAACUGGUAUCCCCGGGGAUACUUGACUCUCUAAACAGUGGCAUGUAUCACCAAUAUUGCGGGUCCUUCGUCCUAAUUAAUAUGUUCUCUUGCAAUCAUGCAGAUAGUCACUCCGCAGAAUGAUGUUUGAUUUUACAAUUGAAAACUUACCAAGAUUCAGUCAUCUUGAAUAUUAUUUUUCGUAAAAAUGCUGGUUGUUUAAUGUAUGUUUAUCAAUGAAAAAUUGGCUUUUUUAAAAUUUGUUACUGAUAGCGGUUACUUGUAUCGUACUUUGUGUGUUGUUUUUACGAAAUGCAGUCAACUACUUACUUACUGGUUUUGAUUUCCCAAAACUUCUCUCUUCCUUCACUUAGAGAGAGAGAGAGAGAGAGAGAGAGAGAGAGGGAGAGAGAGAGAGAGAGAGAGAGAGAAUUAUAUUAUGAUAUUCAGACAUAUUGACUUUUAUCUAUGUUCCUGACCCAUUUACUUAGGUGCCAUAUUCCUCAGAUUAUUCCACUGUGUCUAAGAGAGGUGUUAACAUGAAUACCUUUAUCGCCAUUCUUUGCCUAGGAUUUGGUAAAGUAUUGUUUACGUAUGAAAUAUUUUAGCAAUUUAUAUUUUCCAUAAAUGGAAGCUUUUAUUUAUGAAUGUCAUUUAGUAAUUUCUGUAUAUGCACUAUGUAUUUGUAGAGUCGACAUCGCAUAUUUUUUGGCAAUAUCAUAAUUGAUAACUGUGCAAUAAAACAGGCAUUGAAAACAGG
rnacentral:misc_RNA from 1 species